CCUACGGGUGGCAGCAGUGAGGAAUAUUGGUCAAUGGACGAGAGUCUGAACCAGCCAAGUAGCGUGAAGGAUGACUGCCCUAUGGGUUGUAAACUUCUUUUAUAUGGGAAUAAAAUGUUCCACGUGUGGGAUUUUGUAUGUACCAUAUGAAUAAGGAUCGGCUAACUCCGUGCCCGCAGCCGCGGUAAUACGGAGGAUCCGAGCGUUAUCCGGAUUUAUUGGGUUUAAAGGGAGCGUAGGUGGGUUGUUAAGUCAGUUGUGAAAGUUUGCGGCUCAACCGUAAAAUUGCAGUUGAAACUGGCAGUCUUGAGUACAGUAGAGGUGAGCGGAAUGCGUGGUGUAGCGGUGAAAUGCUUAGAUAUCACGAAGAACUCCGAUGGCGAAGGCAGCUUACUGGACUGUAACUGACACUGAGGCUCGAAAGUGUGGGUAUCAAACAGGAUUAGAUACCCUAGUAGUC
rnacentral:rRNA from 1 species